ensembl:lncRNA
AUGCAAUGGGGAAGACGACAGGUGAUUAGCAAGCUCAAUGGAGCAGUUCACAGGAUUGAUGAAGAAUGUAAUGAAGGUUUUGGUCUUACAGGAGAUUGUGGAUGGAACAAAUGGAGGACGGAUGACAACAGACAGCUCAGAGUAACGGGCAAUCAUGCUACAAACAUGGAGACAAGGGAGGAGACAGACGUUGGAGUGGAGCGCUGGAGAACACACUGGAGAAGACACAGGAGACCCCCUGAUUAUCCUCCUGUGGUUCUCCCUUGUUGUCCUCCCUGUUUCCUGGAACCUGUCUUGAUAUUCUGCUUACCUGCCAUUUACUCUGCAUUUCAAUCCUGUUUAAUAAAAGCCUGUCAUCUCACUAACCUCCCGCUGAUUUGUGACAAUAAGUGUGUACUGUGUAUAUUUAUCAUGUGUAUAUAUAAAUACAAGCGCAUGCAUAUAUUUAAGAAAAGUGUGUUGUGUUUGUAUAUUAAAUAUAUUUUAUAUAAAAAUAUAAUAUAAAUGUAUAUACAUGUAAAUAUUUUCUAAAUACUCAAUGUGUGUGUGUAUUUAUAUAUACAUAAGAAAUAAACACAG